rnacentral:rRNA from 1 species
UACGGGGGGAGCAAGCGUUGUUCGGAUUUACUGGGCGUAAAGGGCGCGUAGGCGGCCACCGCAAGUCGACUGUGAAAUCUCCGGGCUUAACCCGGAAAGGUCAGCCGAUACUGCGGGGCUAGAGUGCAGAAGGGGCAACUGGAAUUCUCGGUGUAGCGGUGAAAUGCGUAGAUAUCGAGAGGAACACCUGCGGCGAAGGCGGGUUGCUGGGCUGACACUGACGCUGAGGCGCGAAAAGCUAGGGGGAGCGAACGGGG